CAUUAAGAAGCUAUGCACUAAGCACUAGCCUUUUAAGCUAGAGAGAGGGGAUUACUCGCCCCCUUAAUGA
rnacentral:tRNA from 1 species